rnacentral:rRNA from 1 species
AUAGAUACCUGGUAGUCCACGCCGUAAACGAUGAGUGCUAAGUGUUAGAGGGUUUCCGCCCUUUAGUGCUGCAGCUAACGCAUUAAGCACUCCGCCUGGGGAGUACGGUCGCAAGACUGAAACUCAAAGGAAUUGACGGGGGGCCCGCACAAGCGGUGGAGCAUGUGGUUUAAUUCGAAGCAACGCGAAGAACCUUACCAGGUCUUGACAUCCUCUGACAACUCUAGAGAUAGAGCGUUCCCCCUUCGGGGGACAGAGUGACAGGUGGUGCAUGGUUGUCGUCAGCUCGUGUCGUGAGAUGUUGGGUUAAGUCCCGCAACGAGCGCAACCCUUGACCUUAGUUGCCAGCAUUUAGUUGGGCACUCUAAGGUGACUGCCGGUGACAAACCGGAGGAAGGUGGGGAUGACGUCAAAUCAUCAUGCCCCUUAUGACCUGGGCUACACACGUGCUACAAUGGAUGGUACAAAGGGCUGCAAGACCGCGAGGUCAAGCCAAUCCCAUAAAACCAUUCUCAGUUCGGAUUGUAGG